CUCCCUCUCUCCUCCCUCCUCUCCUCGCUCGCUCGCUCUCUCCGCCGGCCUCAUCGGAGAGAGUUGCAGUUCCCCCUGGGCCUGUGUGGACUAGGAGCACAACCCGGCGUCCGGCUGGCAGGAGAGGAAAGCGGGGACUCCUUCAGGUUUCCAAAGAGGUCCGAGCGGACUGCGUUAGGAAAACCUGAGGAGUCUUACACUUUUAAUCCUCCAGUCAUUGGUUGUGCUGUGAGGACAUUGUGGUGAGGUGGUGGAAAUAAAAGGCAACUGCUUUCCUGGCCCUUUGCCGUCUAGUUAAGUGUUUGACUGACAGAAUGUUGGCACCAGCCCUGGAAGAGCUGAUCAGCCUCAACUCCAAAUCUCUGUCCUGAGACACAACAACAGGAUGUGCCUUGGAGAAGAGUCUCAGGAUAGAGAAUUUUUGAUUGAGUUCCAAACCUGCAAGCUCAGGGAGCAACUUCAUCAUUUUAAAGAAUGCUUUAUCAAAAAAACGACAAAAUGAUACAGAACCAAUGGAUCCAGUUAUAGCUGUCUCUAA